GAUGAACGCUGGCGGCGUGCCUAAUACAUGCAAGUCGAGCGAACAGAUGCGGAGCUUGCUCCUUUGACGUUAGCGGCGGACGGGAGAGUAACACGUGGAUAACCUACCUAUAAGACUGGGAUAUCUUCGGGACACCGGAGCUAAUACCGGAUAAUAUAUUGAUCCGCAUGGUUCAAUAGUGAAAGACGGUUUUGCUGUCACUUCUCGAUGGAUCCGCGCCGCAUUAGCUAGUUGGUAAGGUAACGGCCUACCACGGCAACGAUGCGUAGCCGACGUGAGAGGGGGAUCGGCCACACGGGAGCUGGGACGCGGUCCAGACGCCUACGAGAGGCAGCAGUAGGGAAUCGGACGCAAUGGGCGAAAGCCUGACAGAGCAACGCCGCGUGAGUGAUGGAGGUCUUCGGAUCGUAAAACUCUGUUAUGAGGGAUAAACAAAUGUGUAAGUAACUAUACACAUCGUGACGGUACCGAAUCAGAAAGCCACGGCUAGCUACGUG
rnacentral:rRNA from 1 species